AGUGAACGCUGGCGGUAGGCCUAACACAUGCAAGUCGAACGGCAGCACAGUAAGAGCUUGCUCUUACGGGUGGCGAGUGGCGGACGGGUGAGGAAUACAUCGGAAUCUACUUUUUCGUGGGGGAUAACGUAGGGAAACUUACGCUCAUACCGCAUACGACCUACGGGUGAAAGCAGGGGAUCUUCGGACCUUGCGCGAUUGAAUGAGCCGAUGUUGGAUUAGCUAGUUGGCGGGGUAAAGGCCCACCAAGGCGACGAUCCGUAGCUGGUCUGAGAGGAUGAUCGGCCACACUGGAACUGAGACACGGUCCAGGCUCCUACGGGAGGCAGCAGUGGGGAAUAUUGGACAAUGGGCGCAAGCCUGAUCCAGCCAUACCGCGUGGGUGAAGAAGGCCUUCGGGUUGUAAAGCCCUUUUGUUGGGAAAGAAAAGCAGCAGGUUAAUACCCCGCUGUUCUGACGGUACCCAAAGAGUAAGCACCGGCUAACUUCGUG
rnacentral:rRNA from 1 species